rnacentral:tRNA from 5 species
GCCCCCUUAGCUCAGGGGAUAGAGCACCGGCCUCCGGAGCCGGGUGCGUAGGUUCGAAUCCUACAGGGGGCACCA